rnacentral:snRNA from 1 species
AGGCGUACCUGGUGCCGGGGCUUCGUUGAUCACCGAGGACGAGCCCCAGGGGGAGGCGCGUGCAUUGCACUGCAUUCGCGUUGACCCCUGCCACUUACCCCAAACUGGGGCAGUUGGGGCAUGCAAAUUAC